rnacentral:rRNA from 1 species
AUUGAACGCUGGCGGCAGGCCUAACACAUGCAAGUCGAACGGUAACAGGAAGCAGCUUGCUGCUUCGCUGACGAGUGGCGGACGGGUGAGUAAUGUCUGGGAAACUGCCUGAUGGAGGGGGAUAACUACUGGAAACGGUAGCUAAUACCGCAUAACGUCGCAAGACCAAAGAGGGGGACCUUAGGGCCUCUUGCCAUCGGAUGUGCCCAGAUGGGAUUAGCUAGUAGGUGGGGUAACGGCUCACCUAGGCGACGAUCCCUAGCUGGUCUGAGAGGAUGACCAGCCACACUGGAACUGAGACACGGUCCAGACUCCUACGGGAGGCAGCAGUGGGGAAUAUUGCACAAAGGGCGCAAGCCUGAUGCAGCCAUGCCGCGUGUAUGAAGAAGGCCUUCGGGUUGUAAAGUACUUUCAGCGGGGAGGAAGGGAGUAAAGUUAAUACCUUUGCUCAUUGACGUUACCCGCAGAAGAAGCGCCGGCUAACUCCGUG